GCCUCAGUAGCUCAGUGGUAGAGCACUUGACUUGUAAUCAAGAGGUCGGGAGUUCAAAUCUCUCCUGAGGCU
rnacentral:tRNA from 1 species